AAGUUUGUUGCAGGUCUUUUUGAAUAUCCCUUUGCUGAUAGAUCUUUACUAGAUUUGGUUGGUUGCAAGCUGCAUAGAGAAUUGGCAUGUGAAGCAGUUCGCAAGUCUUUGGUUCUCUUGAAAAAUGGGAAGGAUCCAAAGAAACCUUUUCUUCCAUUGCAUAAAAAUGCUAAAAAGAUUCUUGUCACGGGAACACAUGCUGACGAUCUUGGAUAUCAGUGUGGAGGGUGGACCAUAACUUGGUAUGGAGGAAGCGGCAAUAUUACUAUUGGGAC
rnacentral:misc_RNA from 1 species